rnacentral:rRNA from 1 species
GGUAUGGUGCGCCUGACCCACGGGUGCAAACUCGCGAGUGUCGGUGUGCGCCUGCCAUCCUGGCAGAUCUCGAGCCGGUCCGCACUUCACUGGGCGGGCCGUGUCUCACUGCUUCUUUUACUUUGAAAAAAUUAGAGUGUUUAAAGCAAGCGUUGCGCGUUGAAUACAUUAGCAUGGAAUAAUAACUUAGGACUCUUGUCUCUCAGUUCAUUGGUCCUCUGGAGUA